AUUCACAGUUCUUUUCAUCUUGGAAACUGACUUUUCAUUUCUCUUCGUGUUUCAUACAUUAGGAAAGAAGAAUACAAAGGUGAAAAUAAAACCCUGAAAAAAAUUAAAUCCAAAGUUGAGGGUUGUGCAACAGCUAGUUGGUGAGACUUGGGUAUCUGCCCUAGCUAAAUUACCUUUGAAGAGGCCAUUUUGAAGAGCUGUACAAUCCACUUAAGAAAAGUUUUUACUGAGGUGAAUCCCACUUAUAAUGGAGCAGAGUGAGAGUCUUAAGUCAAGAUAUGCAGACAUGAAAGAGUUAAAUGACUGGAGACCUGACUGCAGCUGGGGUUCAUUUAAACAGCUGUCUGACAUAAAAAGAGGAAGAGGAAAGGUUUGUCUGUUCUGGUGGGAACAAGAUGCACUCUUCUGGAAAAUUGGGCUGAGUGGAAGCUAUCAUGGUGUGGUAUAUACUCUCCAAAGGUAGCAAAAGAAACUACAGAACAAAAAGGCAAAAGAAAAAACAUUAACUGAUUGAAAGUAUACCUCUGAUCUGCUUACUGUUUUACAAGAACAAAGAGUAUCUGUGAUUUGAAAUCCUACAUGCAACAGUAAAC
rnacentral:lncRNA from 1 species